GUUUAAAUAAUUUAAAUAAAAUACUGAUCUUGUAAAUCAUAAAUAAGUAACUUACUUUUUAAACA
rnacentral:tRNA from 1 species